rnacentral:lncRNA from 1 species
CGAGGAAAUCACCGUGGGACAGCUCAUCUCACACCUCCAGGUCUCCAACCAGGAGAUUCAGACCUACGCCAUUGCACUGAUUAAUGCACUUUUUCUGAAGGCUCCUGAGGACAAACGACAGGAUAUGGCAAAUGCAUUUGCACAGAAGCAUCUCCGGUCUAUAAUCCUGAAUGUGAGUUCCUGGAACAUGCUGUAUUUUAUUACUAUUAACAACAAUUAUUACUGUUAUUGUUAAUAUAUUAUUAUUGAAAUUAUUAAUGAGUGAGGAGGACACACAGAGGAACCUUAUCAAUAGGUAAAUACCUCUUGAACUGAAUAGCUUUUUCCCGCGAUCCUCUGUGAGCAGAGUUGCCUCUAGGCAGCCAUCUCACCAGCAAUUGCAGUGCGUCCAGGGAGGGACCAAGGCCAGCUCUACUGUUUGUUGCCCUGCAACUCCAGAAUUUUUAUCCAGAGGGAAUAUGUUAAAAUAGGCACAAAGGGGGAAAAUAACUCAUCCAACUGACACU